GCCAAUGGACUCAAUUUGAACAAAAAUGAAGAAAAACUAGGCCUGGAAUCUCAUUCUUUCCUUAUCACUUUAAGCAAACUCUAUUUGUGCAUCAGCCACUCUAGAGACGGAUCACCCAUGAACAACCAAAUACUGACUUUUCAAACUCCAGUCUCUGUCACUCUCCGCGAGUUAAUCGGGCCGACCAGACGUUACAAAGUCUGGACUCAACAAUACCAGUUAUCCUCCGUCAUCGUUGCUACUCCUAUCGCGGUUCACCAAUCCUUCCACCGCACGCGGUACCUCUUCCAUCCAGUAUCAAGGACCUUCAUAUCUUCGCCCUUUCAACGCCAACCCAUGUGUCGCUUUAUUGGCUCCCCUUGAGAUUAGUUUUCUGAUUACAGUUAACGCAUUUCCCUCAAUACAUAUAUCUUAAACUCCCAUUUCUUUUGCCAUAGUAACAGCCUGCAAACAUGCCUUCGCCUCGGCCAUAGUCAGAUCUGAAAUAUUCUCACAUGUGUAAGUACACACUGCCAUCACCAAUCCUUCCUUAUUCCGUGCAAUGAUUCCUGAAUAUGAUCUACGAGAAUUCUGAUUAAAUGAAGCAUCAAAGUUUAUUUUUAUAACAUUAUCACUAGGUGGUUGCCACACAUUACUGUUAAUCUCAUGUACAUUCUUCAAGAUCUCACCUAUAUGCUUUAUUUUUGUACAAUAUGCAUUGAUAAAGCCCACAAUUUCAUGCACUCGCUCCCAUUUCCCUUCAUGAUAAAUUCUAUUUCGGUUGUACCAAA